AACCAGCUUGACAACAACCCCAGGGUCAGAACUCUAGAUUCCCAAAUCAAACAUUGCAUCUUCGUAACUAGUUACUAAUUUAAAAUAUGGAUUCGAAAACUCAACACUGAAUGAAUUUGGUUAUGGCAGACCUUCUACCUGGCUGGGAACCCUAGAGACGAGUUCGAGCAAUCACAGCAGAAAAGAUUACUUCUCAGCAGGGGCGACAGGCAAAGCCAAGGCAGCUGCAACAACCUCUUCUGCGGGAUGG
rnacentral:lncRNA from 1 species